UAGGGAAUCUUGCGCAAUGGGCGAAAGCCUGACGCAGCAACGCCGCGUGAGGGACGAAGGCUUUCUGAGUUGUAAACCUCUUUCAGCAGGGACGAUUGUGACGGUACCUGCAGAAGAAGCACCGGCCAACUACGUGCCAGCAGCCGCGGUGAUACGUAGGGUGCGAGCGUUGUCCGGAUUUAUUGGGCGUAAAGAGCUCGUAGGCGGUUCGAUAAGUCGGGUGUGAAAUCUCCAGGCUCAACCUGGAGUCGCCACUCGAUACUGUCGUGACUAGAGUCCGGUAGGGGACCAUGGAAUUCCUGGUGUAGCGGUGAAAUGCGCAGAUAUCAGGAGGAACACCAGUAGCGAAGGCGGUGGUCUGGGCCGGUACUGACGCUGAGGAGCGAAAGCGUGGGGAGCGAACAGGAUUAGAUACCCCCGUAGUCC
rnacentral:rRNA from 1 species